CAUCAACGAAGUGAUGCGGUGAGUUCGAUGGUGUAUGAAGCAAAUGCCAGGUUACGUGACCCAGUAUAUGGAUGUGUUGGGGCAAUAUCAUCCUUGCAGCAACAGAUUGAUUCUCUGCAAACCCAAUUGGCAAUUGCACAAGCUGAGGUAGUUCACAUGAGAAUGAGACAAUAUGGUUCGUCUUCCAAUAAUAUUCCAGGCACCAUGGACAUGGUGGUUGAUCAGACCAACGCUGGGGAGUCUUUGUGGUCAUGCUAGUUAUCACCAUGCAUGCUUGCUUUCCCUUUUUGCCUACAUACUUAUUUAUCAACUAUAAUGGGCUUGCUUUAUUGUCUCCUUCUUUCAUGCCCUUUAUAGUUGAUAAAUAAGUAUGUAGGCAA
rnacentral:misc_RNA from 1 species